UACGGAGGGUGCGAGCGUUGUCCGGAAUCACUGGGCGUAAAGGGCGCGUAGGCGGUCGGGUAAGUGGGAUGUGAAAGCUCUGGGCUCAACCCAGGAAUUGCAUUCCAUACUGCUCGACUUGAGUUCGGUAGAGGAGGGCGGAAUUCCAGGUGUAGCGGUGAAAUGCGUAGAUAUCUGGAGGAACACCCGUGGCGAAGGCGGCUCUCUGGUCCGAUACUGACGCUGAGGCGCGAAAGCUAGGGUAGCAAACAGG
rnacentral:rRNA from 1 species